rnacentral:rRNA from 1 species
CUAAGGAGAUGGCGACCGGCGCACGGGUGAGUAACACGUAUCCAACCUGCCGAUAACUCGGGGAUAGCCUUUCGAAAGAAAGAUUAAUACCCGAUGGUAUAAUUAGACCGCAUGGUCUUGUUAUUAAAGAAUUUCGGUUAUCGAUGGGGAUGCGUUCCAUUAGGCAGUUGGUGAGGUAACGGCUCACCAAACCUUCGAUGGAUAGGGGUUCUGAGAGGAAGGUCCCCCACAUUGGAACUGAGACACGGUCCAA